CCCUUCCUAAGGAGGAUGGAAGUGGGGUUGGUCUCCAGUUCUGCUGCAGCCCUGUCCUGCCUGGUGGCUGUGGGCUUGGCUGGCUAGCUGAGCUCCUGGCUGCUGCCAUCUCAGCAUCUUCAGCUUAGUGCUUCACAGGCUGAACAGAAACAUCUAAGCAGAGGUGAAACCAGGCAGAAGUGGAGUUAAAGCAGCAUUGAAAAAAUUGCAGUUUGAUUAAAAAAAAAAAAAAAAAAAAAAAAGGAGAUAUUUAUGAAUAGACUGGAUGUGCUCUAGUGGAGGAAGCAAGAAUUACAGGGAGGCAAUAAAUAUUUACCAGUAUCUUAAGUAAUACAGUUAAAUAACACUGAGAAAACAUCCUAAGAUACUGUUGUAAUUUAAAGCCAAUGCAAAGAAACUUGGUACACUUUGUGUAUUAAAAAAACCACAACCCUUAAUUGAGUAAGUGGCAGAGUAAUUCCAGGUACUCAGAGCACCUGCGUUGCCUACAUAGAUGCCUGGCACUUGUGAAACAGCUCUGAGGCUUAUGGUAUGCUGGACUCACCAAGGUAUGCUGUAAAUAGAUAUUUUUUUCCACACUGGAAACGGUGUACUGUUUUGGGAUAUGUUUUUGGUUUGAAAACGUGUUCUGUUCAGUUUGGUGCAGGGGGUGACUGUUGACAGCCACUGUGAGACAUUCUCGUCCUUGAAUCUUGGGCCCCCACUAUGUACUUCUGAAGUCUGGAUGUUUUGCCAUUAAAAUAUUCCUCACUAGCUUCAGAAAGUUGGAAAUGGUCAUGGGAGUUGCUGUUCUUUGUAACAGCUACUAAAAUCAGUGUUGUUGCAGAGCUGUCCCGUGGCGAGCGGGCUGCUGGGGUUUAUUGGUGGUUUGCAGGGCGCUGUCAGAUGCAGAGGGAAACUGGGUGGUCACACAGGAAGGUGCACCAGGCCUGCUCUGUGUUAUUUCCUAGUAUUUUCCUGCUGGCCAUGCGAAUCUCUUGCCUUGCUUUUUAAGCUUCUAAUUUAAAUUUCACCAGCACGUGGUGCAGCAAGGUCUUUGGCCUUGAGCAGGGCCCCUGGCUGCCGCACGAGAAGCGGUGUGGUGAUGUGCAGCAAGGCAGCACGUGAGGGCUGUGGGCAGGAACCCCGGCUCAGCCCCAGCUGCUCUGGUUGGGCUGACUUUGGGCAGGUAACUGAAGCAACUUGUGUCCCUGGGCUGCUAACAUCAAAUCAAAUUCGCUGCGUAUUCGUGACAGUGGUAGCAGGAGAGGAAUCUCGCUCGAUGCAGAGCUGCAGGCAUAGUGCCAGGGGAUGUGUGCGCACUGAGUCUAGAGCAGGGGUGGCAACACACCCGUGUUGUCUGCGAGGUGCUGUGGUGGUCGUGGGAGGAUGCUCGUGAAGCCUUGCACAGUAAUCUUUGAAAUACCCUGGAUUUAAUUUUGGUGUCAGGCUGCUUGUUUCUGCUGAGAACAGUUUACAGCGGAGAUGUGUGUUUAUAGAGAACUGUUAGGCUGCCCUUUAAAGUGUUUAAAUAAUAUUGUAUCAACAUGGUGCAGACUGAUAUGUAUCUUAGCAACUGUGUCACGUUCAUGAUGGGCUAAAAAUCCAAACAGGAAUCAAACAAUCUGGAGCCUCGGAGCUUAGAAAGCUGAGAAUAGGGAGAAAAUUACAAGGUUAUUCUGGGCCCAAUGGAUGCUCCCCUUCAGCUUCACACUGUGCUAAUCAUAGGUUAACAAGUAUCUUGAAACUAUAAUUAAAAUGAAAGAUAUAUAUACGCAUCUCCAGAAAUGAAUACCAUAAAGAAACUUCAGGACAAGACAAAUAUUGAAAUACCAGAAGUACAAUUGAUGUUUGAAGGAAGGUUAAGUCUAAAAUAAAAGAAAAUACACUUGCCUGCUUUCAUGUGUUCUACUCAGUUUCAGUCAGUUCUUAAGACUGGAAAACUCUGUAUUUGGACACUGUCUAUUUACCCCAAGUGCUCAUUGAGCAAGAAUAGAGGUGCAUCUCUGUCCCUAAGCGCUAACAAAUGCAUGGCAUGGUGUUACUGUGGUGUUACGAAGAGACGCAGCGCUGAGCUGUGCAGAAACCUGCUCCAGAGCGGCGUCUUCAGGCCUCUUGUUCUCAGGAGGUUGGAAAUUGUCCCAGAGCCAGCAACAGCCACUUGGCAUCACAUUUCAGUUAUCUACUGAAGCAACUCGUGUCCCUGGGCUGCUAACAUCAAAUCAAAUUACGGUCACCUCCUGCUUAUCGUGUGACUGUUUUGGAUCCUUCCUGAUCAAAUGUAUGAGCUGUUGUGUUUAAUUUCAGGAGGCUGGGUUGGUACUGUCUGCAGUGACUCUUACACCAGGGAAUGAAGCUCCCUCCAUAAGGCACGUUUCAGCUUUCAAAAAUGUCAUGCAAGAGUUGUUCAGAUUUCCCAGGUACUCAUUUAAACAGAGAUCUAUGACUCAACUAAUGGCUUAUGUGAAGUUGAUAUUUAAAGGCAUUAUUAGUUAAGCCUAUUAAGUACCCCGAGGAUGAUUAUAAGUCUGAGUUUCUAGCUGUCAGUACCUCAUCAGAACUUUCACUCAUCAGGUGUCUCUGCUGGAAUACUUACAAGGCAGGAUUGUGCUUGCUUUGUUCAUCUUCCUUUCCAAGAACAGAAAACCACAAAGAUUUCAGUGCUUCUGCUCGAUUGCUACAGGAGUGGUAAAUAGAAGUGUGCAAGGAGUUGUGUACAAGGCUGAAGAAGGAUCACAAAUCCACAAAGCAGCUUAUUAACCAGGUGACACCGUGUCUUAGCUCCAGACAUCCAGAAGUGGUUUCCAAGCAAAGCAUUUCUGUCGCAGUAGAGGAUGUUCCCACUGCACCUGUCCUGUAAGGGAUGAGAGAUGUAAAAGCUGUUCUUAAAAUAAGAAUUUGUACCACCAGGGAGGGAAACCCUCCCAUCUGUUCAUAGCUUUUACUCAUUUUUCUUCGAGUCUUGAUUUUCAUUAGUGCUUUUCUGCUCCUGUUGCCUCCCGGGAAAGACGUCCUCAACUCCACUUGCUACUCCCCCACCUCUUGCUGGCUGGGGUAACAGCUGGUGUUCACAGGAGCCCUGGUCCGUGGUGUCACUCCAAAUGCAUGGUGCUGCUGAGGCAAGGCCCAGCAUCCUGUGUUCCCUGAUUGCCCAGUGAUAAGAGCUGCCAUAACGAAGGGAGCCUGUAGCAGGCUGCUCCCAGGUUCAGGAGGUGCCGAAGCUGUAAACAGCUUAGAGUGAGGUAUCACCUGCAGGAGGAACACGGGCUCCCAGCCUUUUGAGGCAGAUGCUCCUGACCUCAGAAUGAGAAGGAAUCGGAUCUAUCUGAUUAUAUCCCUAAGGCCAGCGGGCACACUGCUUUCUGAUUUUCUAGAGCAAUACUUCCCUAAGGCAUUAAUGGUUAUGAACGUAGAGUUCCUGAAUGAAUCACUGCAGUAAGUACCUGGGAGCCUUGACAGAGCACGGGCAGCCCCUGAGGCUGCAGCAGGGCUUUGGAAGGAGGAAACACAAGGGAUGGUCUAGGCAUACCUGUGUGUUAAGACAGGCAGCAUUUCACCUUCUGAGGCUGAGGACUUCUCAAAGACCCCCGUGGCUCCAGACAGG